UUCCAAUUUUAUGGAUUUAUUAAAAAAAAACUCUCUAUUUAUUCUUAUAUUUAUUGAAUAAUCUUUAAUGAAAUCAACAUUUAGUUAAAUAUUAAAAUACAGACACAACGAAUGACUAGUCAAGAAAUAAUAGAUACUUAUUAUGCUAAAUAAAAAUACAAAACUAAAUCAUCUUGAGUCCAUGGACUUUUGACCCACUCCUUUAUAUCAUUUAUUACUGGUAAAUCAGGCACUUCAUUUUCGUUCUGAAUUUGGAUGUCCGGAACAUCUUUGGUACCAACAUCGUCUUCUUCCAUCCAUAAAGCAUCGUCAUCAUUCAUUAAACAGAGAAUCUCUCGGGCACGUCUAGCCGCAAUCCUUUGAGGACUAAAUUUCCCGAUAGGUAACAGCUCUGGUUUUUUAUGUCAUUGUUUGUGUUGAUUGGUGGCUUAAUAGGAAGAAAAAUAUAGGCCACAUAUGCUACUCGAUAUUUUAAAUAAGUAUUACUCGACACUAGGGCAAUAACUAUCAUGGAACUUGUUUCAGAUGGGAUGAUGCUUGGAGAUUUAAUAAUAUCUGUAGUAAUAAUGGAGCAAACUUAGCGUUGUUGUCAUUACUCUCUGUGACUUCAUAACCUUCUGAUGUAUGUUUAAUUAACACAGGUGGUGGUAAAAAUCCUUCUUUUAACAAUUUCCAAACACUACAACGUCUUACACCGCAACAUGCAAUAGUUUCACAUUUAACUAACUAUUUGUAAAAAAUAUUGUGACUCACGUACAUGAUUAGCUUACCAAGUAGCAUUAUUUUUCAACAUCAUAGUCUGUUCAAUAUCCAGUCCAGAAACAGUUGGUGCAACACAUUCAGCAACGACUGGAAAAUUAUCAAUGACUAACUUGCUCCAAAUGGCAGCCAACACAAUGCCCGCACUUUCGAAGUUUCGUUUUUCUAGAUCUAAGUCAGUAGUUCGAUUACUUGAAUCAAGAUGUGACUCAAAACACUGUGGAACAUUUUUGGGAUUAUUGUCUGUGGGGUGAGAAAUUCCAAGUCAGGGUGAUGGUACUAGGUCAGUAUAGUAAACCCCUCAGAGGGUUUGGCGUUCGUAUGUGUCAGUUUUUUUUAUGACCUUUUAAAUUUUUUCCUUAUCUUGAUGUUUUUUCGCGAACCACUUGUCCGAUUUUGAUGAAAAAAAUUUAGAAAAAUUAAGAAUUACAAUUUCCAUUUGUUUUUAUUUGUUUUUAUUCAAAAAAUGAGGGUUUUACUAUACUGACCUAGUACCAUCACCCUGACUUGGAAUUUCUCACCCCCCCACAUUAGCUGUUGUACUGUGAAAUCAUCAUAAUUUAAAAGUACACCAGUAAGUUCGCGACUGAGAGGUGCCAUACGUCGUUCAACUCUGUUAAAUGCACUCCUUCCUGGGGCAUUUGUUGCUUUAUAAAUUGCAUCUAAAUGAAAAUAUUUAAAAUGUUGUAAAGCUGAAACUAUAACACGGGGGACAAUUUUGUAACUUUGAUUAAAAUUAUAAUAUAAAAUAAAAUAAAGUACGAUUCGCAGAAGAGCCCCAAUGUUUACAAAUUUAUUGUAACGAACCCUGGACACGGCAAGUAUACCUCAGCAAGUUAUAUAUACAUAUGUACUUGUAUGAAGCAGGGGCAGUAAAAAGCUUCGUUACAACUUAAGUAUUAAAAAACAAAGAUUGUGUUUAUAAUUGUUUAAAAUUUUUUGUUUACCUAUAAAUUUCACGUUUGUACAUCACAAAUUUUGAAAUGUGAUGUCACAAAGCUUUUGACCUCCCUGCCCCUUGUCACACAAUGUUACUUCUGAAUGAUACCCUCGAAACCUAUUGUCGCAAAUGCAUUUUCUGUCCACUCAAAAAGGCUUUGAACACAGCGUAUGUGAUAGAAGCUUUUCGAGACAGUUAUUUAAUAAAACAACUGCUUAGUUGUAAAAUAGCUUAAUAAAACAUUGUUUUUGAAAUAUCAUAAACGGUUGUUUUUACAGUCUUUCACAGUUUGAUACCAACUAUAACGGUUACUCAAAAAAAUUAACAUUUACAAAAAUAUGCAAAUAAUACACAUAUAUGUAUGUAUUAGGCCGGGUUGAUUUGUAUGGGUGGAAAAAAACCAACAAAGCGGCUAGCAAAAAAUGAAAACUACAGAUAAUUCUAAUAAAGUUUUGCAAAAAACAGUACUAGCGCGAAUCUCAAGGUAGACAGACGUGUAUGCUAAUUGCAUUCUGCCCUACAUCGCUACAUACAAACAAUCGCAAGUGAUAAACAAACGCUCAACCAAAAGGGAAAAGAAAAUAAAAUAACAGCAAGAGAUUUCAACGCACACAGCCAGCUAUGGGGAUCUUCCAAAACCAAUACAAGAGGGAAGGUUAUAGAAACACUCACAACACAAUCCAACUUGACAAUCCUCAACAACGGUGCACCCACUACACCUUCACUCACGUGGACAUUUCACUAGCUUCUGCUAGCCUCGCAAGUUUCCUGGGUUGGAAAACACUAAAAGACUUGCACGGAGCGAUCACUAUCCCAUAAUCAUAACAUUUGGCGACAACACACAACCAGCAACUAAAAAACACAUUUCACGUUACAUUGUAACUAAAGCAACUUAUCAACAAAACAACUUAUCAACUUUUCACUUUGCACUUAUCAAUUGAUAUUGUACUGCAAAGUGAAAAGCGUUUCUGUUCCACAAUAUUCUUUGCGAAUCUCACUUUGCAUUGAGCAUAUUUUGGCAAAGACUUUACGCUUUUUCCGCUCAGUGCAAAGUGUUCCACAAAGCGUUUUAUCAACUAUGCAUUUCUUUUUCAUCACUUUGCACUUUGCAUUGCUUUAUAUGAGUUGUUAAAAUGAGCCGCAAAAUACAAAUUUAAAAAAAAACUUGUUUUAAAUGUAAUAAAAGAAAAAAAAGCAUUUUAUUUGCUAGUUUUCAAAACAACAGAGUUAACAAAUUAGAUAAAUAGGCAGCAUGGGAGGAUGUGUUAAAAAAAAGCUCAAUCCCUACAACUGGCGUCAGCACAAAAAACAUGGACCUAUGCAAAGGACAGUUUGUUUGGGUUCUGGAAGAGCCGGAUAAUGGUAAGUACAACAAUUUAUUGCCUACACAUAGCAAAUAAUUAUAUUUGCAUCAUUUGUUGUUGUUGGAAUUCUUAUAUUGUGGAUUGCUAAUAACUAACAAGCAUGUUGUUGACAACAACAAAACAAAACGUCAUCAUAGACAUUGUUGUUAUGAGUUAACAGUGCACUCAAUCAACAACUCUUGCUGAUAACAACCGGUUUAACCAAAAUAUUACUAAUUGCUAUGUGUACUAGAGUGGGUCAAUUUUUUUUCGACGAAGCGGUUAUCAAAAUCAGUAAAAGGGAUAACGCCCGAAAUACUGGAUCCGGAGGUGGGAAGGACAAGGUAAUGGAUGAAGCUGACUUGGCCAUCCUCGAUAUUCUGGAAUUAGACUCAGCUGUGGUAGAUGGUUUGAAUUUGCCAGAAAGUUAUGGCAACUCAGAAAAUCUACCGUCAGCUGAGAAUGAUUCCAGAAUAUCUAUUUCAGAAGAAACAAUUGCCAAUCCACCUCUAAACUCAAGAAAGAGGAAGCGCUGUAUCAAGUUUCCAAGUGAAACUUUGGAUAGAGAGAAAAAAUGCCGGGUGGAGCUCCUUGAGGUUGAGGUUUACUACCGGAAACUCCAAUGCCUAAAACUGGAGAGGGAGCUCCUACUUCCACCCUCUGCUAUCACACUGGGAAUUGCAACGGCAGAAACAGAAAAUGUAUCGUAUAUUUGAGGAGGUUUGAUUACCAAAGGCCAAUUUUUCAUUUGUGUGUAUUUGAUUUCUAAACAUUUUAUUUUGAAACAAUUUGUGAUAAAAACAAAAAAGCUCUGCAAAUUAUAAAAUGAUGUAAAUAAAUACAAAAAUACUUCCUUUAUUAUUUAUUCUCUGAGACCUUAAUCUUAAACCCUAAAAAUGCCCCAAAAAGAUACAACGCUUUUGCAGUGGAAAAAGAUUAUAGCCAAAACACCACUUUAAAAAAAUACUAUAAUACGAGUAGUUGGCAUUAGGUAAAGUAUUGUAGCAGGGAAGUAACCCUUUCCAUUCCACUCUCUGGAUCUAUAUUAUUAAGGGCAUCAUUUUCUUCUUCAGCAUUUUCAUCCAAUCCCUCGCUUUCAUUGUCAGUGUCUUCAGUGGGUUGCAUAUUUUCACUACUCUUUCGAUGCUACAGGCAAUAUUGUGUAAGAUGGCACAAACUAUGACUGUCUUUCCUGCAAACUCAGGCCUCAGUCGGAAAUAAUUUAGAAACGGGAAUCUUUCUUUAAGAAUGCCAAAACUAUUUUCAAUUAUGCGGCGACGAUUGAAAACUUCUUCAGCAGGAUUAUUGGGAUUUCGGCGUAAUGGUGGUACCAACCAGUUUUUCAAUCCGUAACCACUAUCACCCAAAACAACAGCAUCCGGAAAUGGUCUCCACCCAUUGUCAAAUCUUUGACUUACAGCCGAAUUCCGUAGCACCCUUGAGUCAUGAACGCUGUCCGGCCAACUUGCAUUUACACUGUAAAAUGUGUAGUCUGGCCCACAUUUCAUCAUCACAUUCAAUGAGUGGUUUCCAUGCCGGUCAACAUAUCCUUCCCCGUGUAAUGGAGGCGCAUCAAUUUUAAUGAUUGUGCCAUCAACGCAACCACACACAGAAGGAAAUCCACCCAUCAGAAAAAACUUUUCAGCAAUACCACUGACAUCAUCGGGCCAUCGCACUGUUUUUUGAAAUAAAACGUCUAUUAUAAUAUCGACAACUCUAUGGAUGGUUCUGCAAACUGUGGAUUUUGCAACACCAUGCAAAGCUGCAACUCUAUGGUACUGGCAACCAUUUCGGAGCCAAUGCAGGCACAGUAG